AGUUUGCCAUGAUGAAAUGCAUGUUACUCCGUGUUUCAGAGGAUCUACCUGAUGUUAAACACAUGUUCUGAGCAGACA
rfam:Dipodomys ordii contig_71644, whole genome shotgun sequence.